ACAGCCGCCGAAUCGCUCGGACAAAUAGAACUGCCAAGCUGCAACGUCUGCGACGAAGACAGUCCUUUCAGUGCAAACGUUAUUGAGAUCAAUCGCUUAUUACAAGAUGAAAACCUUUCCUCUGCCCAGAAGAUUGUCAGUUUCAACGGUAUUUCUUGUUUCAAUUAUUGUUGCCAUAGUCAUUGCCAAUGAAACACACCAGAAAGACUGUGUUAACUGUGUUGAUGCUGCGGACGAGUAUACAGUGAAGAAACGCGGCGGUUUUAGAGUAUGCUACGCUGGAAAGUGCCCGAGGCGCCGAAGCCGUAAAAGGGGAAUGAAGAUGAACCUAGCACAGUUUGAAAAGGAGCUGCAAGAUUUCGAGUCGACUAAUUCAGAGAACUUUGACGUAUCCCCGGCGGAAAUAAGGACGAUAGAAAACGAGAAAAAGUCACCAGCCAAUUAAAAGUCAACAAAACCUGUAAAGUCGCAAAUGGAAGCAAUGAAGUUCCUCUUAAAGUAAAAUGUAAACUAAAGCCAUCCAUGUUUCUUUCAUUAUUUUUUUCUAUCGAUGUGUCUGGCAAACUUACUCGAGCAGAAAGGACUACACAACAGCGGAGAACGACUCCUUUUAGGAGAAUUCAAUCUACAUGAAGCUACUCUAAGUAAAAUAAAAUUUUCUGUUACCCGCUA